AUUGGCUGUCAAGAACGUAGAGGAGGUAGGAUGGGCAGUUGGUCAGAUCUAGUAUGGAUCGUAGACGGAUGGGUAGUUGGUCAGAUCUAGUAUGGAUCGUACAUGGACGGUAGU